AUGUGGAAGAGUGGCGAACGGGUGAGGAACACGUAAGAAUCGGCCCCUCGGUCGGGGACAACUCUUGGAAACGAGAGCUAAUACGCGAUACGCUGUGGAGUGAAAGAAUUUCGCCGAGGGAUGAUCUUGCGUCUGAUUAGCUAGUUGGUGUGGUAAUGGCAUACCAAGGCGACGAUCAGUAGCUGGUCUGAGAGGAUGAACAGCCACAUUGGAACUGAGACACGGUCCAAACUCCAACGGGAGGCAGCAGUGGGGAAUUUUCCGCAAUGGACGAAAGUCUGACGGAGCGACGCUGCGUGAAGGAUGACGGCCUGCGGGUUGUAAACUUCUUUUCUCGAAGAAGAAGCUCUGACGGUAUUCGAGGAAUAAGCAUCGGCUAACUCCGUGCCAGCAGCCGCGGUAAUACGGAGGAUGCAAGUGUUAUUCGGAAUGAUUGGGCGUAAAGCGUCUGUAGGCUGUAUAGAAAGUCUUUUGUUAAAUGCCUCGGCUCAACCGAGAUCCAGCAAAGGAAACUUCUAUACUUGAGGGAAGUAGAGGUACAGGGAAUUCCCGGUGGAGCGGUGAAAUGCGUAGAUAUCGGGAGGAACACCAAUAUGGCGAAGGCACUGUACUGGGCUUUACCUGACGCUCAGAGACGAAAGCUAAAGGAG
rnacentral:rRNA from 1 species